AAGGCAUCAUUAUCGUGCAACGAUGCUGUGCAGGUGCUGAUGAAGGGCUGUCGCUGCACUUUUUGACACAAAASUCGUGCACGCCGGGAGCACGUCCUCUCUCUCACAUAAAAUCCAUCUCACCCUUUUGUGCACCACCGCGCGGGCACCCUUUGGGAUGCUUGCGUUUUCACACAAACCCCUUUUAAAAAAGUGUAGAAUGACCGACUUUGCGAUGACACGCAAUCAAUACAACUUUCAACAACGGAUCUCUUGGCUCUCGCAUCGAUGAAGAACGCAGCGAAAUGCGAUACGUAAUGUGAAUUGCAGAAUUCAGUGAAUCAUCGAAUCUUUGAACGCACCUUGCGCCCCUUGGUAUUCCGAGGGGCACACCCGUUUGAGUGUCGUGAAAAUCUCAACCUUCUCGGUUUUCUUCUGGACACCGAAGGAGGCUUGGACUUUGGAGGCCUUUGCUGGCGUCUCUCUAGAGCCAGCUCCUCUUAAAUGAAUUAGCGGGGUCCUCUUUGCCGAUCCUUGACAUGUGAUAAGAUGUUUCCAUGACUCGGUUUCUGGCUCUGUUGCAUUUGGGACCUGCUUCUAACCGUCUCGACGAGACGACGUUUGGGCGUGUCUCCCUUCUCGGGAGACUCUCUCGACCCCACGAACCCUUGACCUCAAAUCGGGUGAGACUACCCGCUGAACUUAAGCAUAUCAAUAAGCGGAGGAAAAGAAACUAGAAAGGAUUCCCCUAGUAACUGCGAGUGUUGCGGGAAAAGGGGAAAUUUAAAAUCUGGUGGUCUUUGGCCAUCUCUUGGUCAUUUGAGGAAGAA
rnacentral:rRNA from 1 species